rnacentral:rRNA from 1 species
AACGAACGCUGGCGGCAUGCCUAACACAUGCAAGUCGAACGAAACCUUCGGGUCUUGUGGCGCACGGGUGCGUAACGCGUGGGAAUCUGCCCUUGGGUUCGGGAUAACUGUUGGAAACGAAUGCUAAUACCGGAUGAUGACUUCGGUCCAAAGAUUUAUUGCCCUGGGAUGAGCCCGCGUCGGAUUAGCUAGUUGGUGAGGUAAGAGCUCACCAAGGCGACGAUCCGUAGCUGGUCUGAGAGGAUGAUCAGCGACACUGGGACUGAGACACGGCCCAGACUCCUACGGAAGGGAGGAGUGGGUAACAUUGGACAAUGGGGGAAGGGCUGAUCCAGCAAUGCCGGGUAAGUGAUGAAGGCCUUAGGGUUGUAAUGUUCUUUUACCCGGGAUGAUAAUGACGGUACCGGGUGAAUAAGCCCCGGCUAACUACGUG